rnacentral:tRNA from 1 species
UAGCUCAAGUGGUAGAGCACGUGCUUAGCACGCACAAGGUCCUGGGUUCAAUCCCAG